AAAUAACGGGAUGCAGAAAAUGCUUAUUCAACGAAACUAAGAACAAGGUUUAUAAAUUUGCAAAAAAAUCUUCAGAAAAUAAUGAAUAUUUAAUAAUGCUCCUAAAACUACUCACACAAGAAUUUUUAUCUUUAAGCAGAGGAAAGCUGUAGAAAAUAAUAAACCUAUUUUAACUCGCCCAUAAUAUGGAUGAUAUUAGAAGGAUUUUAUAAAAAGUGUCCGUGUUUUUGGGAUGAAAAUUACAUUACAUA